UGUGCAGCCUCCUGGAGUAUUUUGCAUAGGGGAAGUGGCAGAAAGGGGAAACGUUUCAUCCAACAUGCAGCCUCCUGAUAAUAAAUCGACAUGCUGACUGUGCAGAAUGUCUGCAGAGGCUUGGGGCUGCAGAGUUUUACAAUAGGAAAGAGCCAGAGCAACAAACCCGAGUGGCCUCGUGUAAUCGAUAACGCUAUACAUUUCCCACUUUUCCAGACUAGGGGUUGUCAGUGCGGAUUCCACAGACGUGCAUUAUCACAGCAUGUUUGCAGACCGUCCACGCUAGGGAAUCGGUUAUAUGCUCGCAAAAUGGGUCUUGUAAAACCUUACAGUCGACCUCAAGGUAACAAGGUGGAGCACCCUAACCCCCUCCAUACCUCCAAGCACUAAGCACCCCCACCGCCACCACCAUCAUCAUCAUCGUCGUGUCGUCGUCACUGGAGCACAUGGAAUCCCGUUAUGCUUAUGCACUAUUUUUUGUGUCACGAGACACGCAAGAGAACACAUGCUGUAUCUUUGGAAUUGCUCCCAAAAUUAAGUGCAAGCCAUCUGAAGUCGUGUGUGUUAAUCUCGUUGUCAUGCAGGACUCCUCCAGCUGGACAUCAGAAGAAUUGCAUAUGUUUGCUUUCUGGCUGUGUUAAGGUCGGUACGCCGUUUACAUGUUUAAAAAAUUAUAAUGAUUUUAUUAUAAACAUGUAUUGAGCUAUAAUAUAUUCAUAGUUAAAGCGAGAGUGCGAGCGUAUUUUUUUUAUUAUAAAAAGACAUCUUUAUAUUUAUAAUGAAUAAAAAUAUAAUUAAACGACCGAAUUUUGAAAAUAUCUUUUAUUAUUAAUUAUUCUUGUCACAAUGUUCAAAAGGCAGUAUUUCCAUCUGAAUUGUUUUUUUAUAUUAUCAUAAGCAAGCUGAUAUUCAAAUUCUAUAUUUUAAUAAUGUAAAAUGUUGCCUAAAUGUUGAUUGUGUUCUAGCUGUUUUAUUUAAUUAAUUAAUGUUUUUAAAUAGGUGUUUAGAUGGAAAAGAAACACCAAAUCAUCUGGCGUGAUGGCGCAAUUUUGGUUUUAAUGAUGUGUGUGGCCUUGCAUGGUUUUAAUCAUUUCAAAUUCGAAUAAAACAUGUACAGUGGCAUAAAUAAGCAGAUGGUCAUUUUUAUUUAGCGACAUUACAUUUACCACUUAUCGUGCAUGUGAAUAGUUUCACUUUGAUGGCUGUACAUACAUGAACUUUCGAAAUACAAGCUGCAAAUCUAAAUAUAAUAUCCGAAACUAAAUUACAAUAGAGAACGGUUCCGCUUGGCAGUUUAAAUAAAAGUUAUUGAACACUGCGCCAAUACCUUUCGCCCAAAACACAUGAACAAUUUCCUUUUAUGUUGAAUGGUGUUGCGCUAAAAGAAAUCUCGCAUAAAACGAAAGUAGAAUCCUUUUUUCAUAACCACCAAAAUGUAGUUUUUUUAACGUCGACCGCAAAAUGAAAACCGCGUGAAUGUCACUUUACUUAUUUAACAAAACCGAAUUAAAAGUAUGAGAAUGGAAGCGGUUCAGAAAAUGGAUAGAUCGUAUUUUGUAGCGUUUUAAUGAAAAAAAGAGGGCAGCAACGUUACUGAUCAUUUCAUUAAACGGCUCCCUUUUCUUAAAAAAAAAGUAGAGCGAGAUUCUAGAUAGGUUAAUAGUAAUUAAAAGUUUCACAAAAUGUUUUAAUUUUUGGUUUUUGAUGUCCCGCCACCCCCGUGGAGACAAGCGGUAUAGAAAAUUGAUGGAUGAAUGGGUUUUUGAUGUGAGGAUAUUAUGAGUGUAUAAUCAAUAAGCAUAAAACAUAAAUAAAAAAAAAAAAGGUGUUUCCUGAACAAACUUGGUCACCACCUGACACCAGCAAGGUGCAAUAAUUCCCCCACCCUUCCCUCCCAAACCCCCUCAGUAAAUAUUGGUGUUGGUUUAGUGUGUCAUCCAAGGAUUCCUUUCUUGAAUGUAUGUCGUCUUUAAAUACCCAUUAAGUUAUAUUUUAUUUAGUGUGUGAGAGUGAUAUUGCCCAUCCCCCCCCCCCCUUCAGUGAGCUAGAAAUAUUACCUGGACGAUGUGCUUUAAUACAUUAAAACACUGACUUUUCAAAUCACAUUUGCCACGGAAUUUAAUUGUUUAAAUACGAACAACAGAACAUUUCAGAACGUAGCAUUGCUCAUAUUUCGGGGUAAGCCCAACCAAUGUACUGCAAUGCAAACCCCCCUUACUUCAGUUUAACCGUCAUGUAUUCCAGGUGAUGAUAUCUGCUUUAGAGUUUUUGCUAAAAUGGAGGCUGGGGGACAGCAAGCUGACUUCUUUUAUAGGCCCAAGCGCCACUCUGGGCUGUCGAACACGCCUAAUGAGGGUGUGCAGCGGUGCCAUGUGAGACAUGCCAGUUUUUACCAGGCUGGGUAAUUGCUUGUGACCUUCAAUAAACACGUCUCAUAUGUCUUCAUAUGUUCUCGUCUAAUUGUUACAUUAAGUUCUGUUUACACAAUCUGGGACUUUUGUCAUUUAUACAGGAAAGAAUUAAGUAAUAGUUAAGUAGUAGAUGUUUGCACUUUCUUUUUUAUUUGCUCUUCUACCUGAACACAAUUUACUUGGAGGCAAGAGUGUUUCCUGUUAAUGCCACAUUAUAUUUUAUUCACCUUUCCGCUUGUGCCACUAAACUAACUCAAAAGCAGUUUUAUCCUGUUUAGCCUCCAAUUGUUCUCCUUUAUUGGUUAUUUGUGUUACAUAACAUUUGCUACUUUGGCACUUUAGAGACAAAUCUGACUUUGAUUUAAUUGGUAAUGCUAUUUAUUUAUUUAUUUAUUACUUUUAUUUUUUGAUAUAUAUUUUUCAUUUCUGUUGCUUCUUAGCAUUCACAUGCUGUGCUUCCUCAUGGCCCCAAAAGUGAUGUUAACUUGCACUGCAAAACUGCAGGAAGAACAGGUGUGGUGUCCCCAUUUGUUUUUAGAUGUGUUAUCCUGAACAGAUAAAGGAGAACUUGCACUACCACAAUAGGUCACAAUCAGGUCUGGGCAGUAAUUGUCACAGUUGGUCCAGAACAGUGUAUGUGUUUGUUUUCAGAAAACAAAGAUGGCAGCCAAGAUAUGGAAAAAUAACUUCAUGAGGAUUUGAUUUGAAAUUCUAUUUUAGUCCAAAAUUGACUUUUUUUUCCCACCACAAGAUGAGAGUCGGUAGUAACGUUUGCAAAAACACAAAGAUGUCAGUGGCUAGAAUACCAUGCAACAAAAGGAUAAUAUUUUUCUGGCAUUUUGAAAUAACCUGUAUUACUUUCGUAACAUUCAUUAAUUGAAUAUAGUGAUCAUUAAUCCGCAAAUCUCUUGAAGGCCUACUUUGAAAGUACUUCAAUAUUUAAUAUCAUUAAUAUGAGUGCACAGUGCUUCUCGUGUGAGAGCCAUGUUAGAAAAUACUAAAAUGUUGACAAUAACAAUAAUGUCAAUGCUACUUCAGAGAUCUGACACAGUACGUGUGGUGUUGUCCAGUGUCUAUUAUAACUUAAUUGUUUACCAUUCAGUGUUGUGUGAUGUUUAUUUUAAUUUUAUAUUCCAAGCUAUUUAAUGCUAUUUCAGUCAAUUUUUUCCUCAUUCAUAUUGACGUCAGCAAUCAAAUUGAUGUUGAAGUCCUUUGGAUAUUUCUUUUUGCAAACUAUAGUUCUAUUUAGAGUGGGCUCGGUAAUUAAGAAGGGUGGUUUUGGGUGGGUCGAGCAGCUACAUGGUGAAUCAAGAUAAUGGCACUUGCUCUUUUUUUUUCCCAGCUCAAGCCUCUUGUCUAAACAUGGCAAACGAAAAACGCCCAAACCUGAUAUUCAAACUGCAGUUAGCAAUCCAUCCCAUGUUCUCAACAGAAUUGAAUUGAACUCUUCAAAUUGUUGUGACUUACUCAAAUGAGAAUCUCUAAUGCCGUUAUAGAUUGAUUUAUAUUGAACAAAAUAACAAUCUUAUCUUUGUGAACUGUUUUUGAUGUUGUUAUCGAAACCAGAUUGUUUCGUUGAAGAACUUUAGAGGGACUUGUACAGGUUAUAAUAAAAAAAAAAUUGGUGAAUGCACGGUGGGAAACAUUGUCUUCAGCUGGUUGAAGUCGAAAGUUUGUAAUAGUUGCGUGCACAUUUGAGUCCGUCUAUAGUUGUCUGUUGUUAGCUUGUGGAACUUUGCUGGUCUGUUACCAAUUAGUGGAGGAACCUAAUUACUUUGGGAGCACUUCAGACUUCAUCUACAGCUGCUGCUGAUUCAUGCGUGUUCUGCUUGGAUAUCAGCCACAGACUUAAAAAUUGUGGGUCACACAUGGUUGUUGACAUAAGCCUUGUACACAAUCUUCAUUUCACGUCUGCUCUGAUGUUUAACAUUAACUUUUGACUUUCAGCUCCGUACCUUUUUUCCUUAUUUACGCAUUGUGCCGUCCUUCAGGUGAAAUUUCUCUCCAUCUUCGGUUUCACGACUCAAAUGCAGCUUUGACACAUCUAAUCACAGGCUUGCCUUCAUUUAUACACUUUAAACUGAAAAUGCAAAUUGUGUGUCAUGAAUUGCUGCAAGACUGUGCCUUUAAGAAUCCUGAAUCCAUUAUGGAGAAAUCUGGAAAGGGCUAUUCAAGGCCUUCUAUCAGAGGCAGUGUGAUAUUGUUUUCCGCCAAACCAGAAAUCAAGGACUUGGAAAAAUCUUCUUUAUGUCAGGAAUAGGGGUAAUGUAUUUGCUCUGACAGCUGCUGCUUUUAAGAUUAAUAGCCUUAUGAAAACCGGGUGUCUUCUUCCCAAAACCAGGCCCUUUAUCAUUCAGUGAGACCUCCUCACAGAGCCAAAAUUAAAGUCACAACACAGGGGAACUGUGUGUUUGUGUGCGCGCCGACCUUGGUUGCCAAAUAUCAUGUCUUUUUUCAUCAAAACUGAAUUAACUCAGUCCUGCUCUCUCAUAGUCCGUUUAAGACUUUCUACUUUUUCAACUCAUGUAUUUGUCAAUGUUGAUCUUGGAGUCAGGGCCAGUGGAGGUCACCCAGGAAUCAAGUGAGCAGGAUCUGGAUGUCAAGGCAUCUCAAAUGAAUCUUCUUUCUGCAGCAUAACGAGACAAGUUUUUUUGCUUCCAACUUGGUGGCAGGAUGCUUUUCUGGACAAAGUUGACAGUGGCACAAGACACAAAGCAACAUCCAUAAAAGCAGGCUUGGAUGUGGCUGGUGAGGAAAAACUUGAGCCACCAAACACUUUUUACGAUGACCCAAAACAAAGACAAAAAUUCAUCUGAGACCAACUGCAGGAUUUUUCUUCUUCAUAAUCUCCACUUCCAGUAUUGGUAUUUCCUAAGUCUCAAAACGAAAUAAUAGUCAUCAUGACUUCUCUCCUGGUGGCCCACAGAGAUCUGGCCUUGUACUAUGACCUCACUGAACCAUAUGCUCAUAAAUACGCUCCCUUAUUUCUACCCUUGUGUGCUUGCCAGUUAGGGCGAGAAGUGGGUUUGUUUUGGGUGUCCUGUGUAUAUUCCCGCAAUAGCCGUGCUUUCAGGACGUCCUGAAUCACACACACUCUGUAUUCCUUGCCUGUGGUCACCUGUCAUGGAGGUAUUCUGCUGAAAGCUGUAUAACCGGAGUCCAGCGUCCGCAUAAUGGACACUUGUUUGUCCUGCCGCUGAUGGUUUAAUUAACUCUAUGUCCGUCCUCUGUGAAUUGUAAUGCUGUCCACAUUCAACAGAGCCACACCUGUAAAUGGACCUUUAAGCGCACAUGUGUAGGUGCCUAAUGUCAGAACCUCAGCCCACAUGGUUAUUUUUUGGUCAAAUGUGGAGACGUUGUCUUUCAACUCGUGAAAAAUUACUAUUUAUUUUACGGUUAGCGCAUAUUUCAGGAAUCCCUCGUUUCUCUCAUCGGCAUGCCGGCGUUUAGCAAGAAUAAGUUCAUGCCUUUUAAAAACUAAUGAAGCAGCUUGGGUACAUUUGAUACUAUGUUGGGAGCAUUUCAAGCUGACAGUCAGUGCGAGGUAAAGAUCAGUUCACUUUUCUAUAGGGGGAGCUGAGCUCACUCAUCCUGGUGGUGAAAUGUCUGACAUGUUUGCACUGAGUUAGGACAGACAGGUCUGCAACCAAGUCCGGACUUGCAGGCAAAGAAAAAGCCCCUCAAUGCUCCCCCGUUUUUCCAAGGAGGCGAGUCCACCCCCCACCAUCUCCCAAGGGUGACAGCUUCCUUCGUUCGUGCGGCCAUCACCUAUAUAGUAUUAAUUGACAUCCAUUGUCUAUUGUUUUCACAGAGACUGUUGCUCAUUUAAAUCAAUGCACAAGGAAGAAGCACGGUGAAAUGAAAAACAUUGUUUGCCAUCACAAAUGACAGGAGAGAAGAGGGGAAGUGAACUAAGGUCAAAUAGAAAGCUUUCAAUUAAUGACUCAAGAAUUUAAUGUUUCACCACUUAUUGAGCCAAAGUAAAAAUCAUCUUCGUAUUAUUAAUAAAAAUAAUAUGAAUAGAAUAAGUUGUGAAUGGAUGGAAGGAUAUUAUUAUGUUAUAUAGAAAUAUAUUUCAUUAUAUUUAUGAAUUAAGAGUUGGGAUUUGCAACAAGUGGAAUUUUAUUUCUGAAACGUCAUAGUUAAAUGUCAACGCAUGGUAAAAUCUGUAUUGUGCAAGCUUUUAUUGGUCAAACCUAAAAACAAAACAUGAAAAUAGCUAAGAAAACUGAUGUGCUAGAAAAAAGGG